UCUGCUCAGCUUCUUGCUGCUGCUAAUGCAGCCAAUAAUGCCCAGGCUAUCAUUACUACUCUUCUCGAGGAGUAUGAGAAUAUUUUCGAUGAUGAUAAUCUACAUAGGUGCUCUAUUUCAGCGGAUUCUCAAAUUGGACAUAGUGGGAGUGAAGAAUCAUCAGAUAAUGAGAAUAUGGAUAUGAAGGACAAUGGUUAUCAUGAUGCUGAAAAUGAGGUUGACCCAGAUACGGAUGAUGAUUGUGAUCGCAUAUUGAGUGGUAAAUUAAGCGAAAGCAGUGGUUCCGCUGCCAGUGAUCUUUAUGAUUAUAAGGGGGUUGGAGGGAAUGACUCAGAUAUUGGAUCUCCAAGAGAUGGUUGUUUACAAGGAGUGAAAUUGAAACCGAAAGUGGACCCUCAGCCACUUGCAGGCUCUAAUGUCUCAUUGCAUGAACAAUUGGAAAGACGUGGAAAUGAGAUAAAUGCUUUUCACGAAUUAGCUGUUACUGAGUCUCAGCGAUCUAUGGGUGAGAUACUCUCAUCUAUGGAUCCUGGGCCACCCCUGGGUGUCCCUGUACCUGAUUCUGGCAUAGAGAAACCG
rnacentral:misc_RNA from 1 species